rfam:Tick-borne encephalitis virus isolate Sipoo-8-Finland-2013, complete genome
UCCCCCUCGGUAGAGGGGGGGCGGUUCUUGUUCUCCCUGGGCCACCAUCACCCAGACACAGAUAGUCUGACAAGGAGGGUGCAUCACGGCAGCACGCC